rnacentral:lncRNA from 12 species
AUUUCCAUGAUUUUCAUACUUGAUUCAUUCAGUGACAUCAGCUAUGGUGACCGAACAGUUGUUUCCGUGGUGACAAAUUGCAGUGUUACAUGAAUGCUUGUAUGAAUCAGGGGUGCGAGCCAGGAGCUCGACCACUGAAGAUGAUGGAGCUGCAUCAAGCUUCUGUAAAUUCACAGAGAAAUGUGACUUGUGGUCUCUAUGUGUAAAAAGG